AAAACCAUCAAGCCUGGCUUGGUCUUGGGCGCGGUCUCGGGACCCGCCCGCAACCCGUCGGCGGUGCCGGCCCGGCCCUGAGCGUAGCAAGACUCUCGCUCGGGGGCCGCGGCGGCGCCAGCCGGGAGCACACACCUCAAG
rnacentral:misc_RNA from 1 species